AAGUUUCUACACAAAGCAUGUUAUUUACACAAUUGAAAGCUCAAGAACACUACUUCAAAAUAUCAUCACCUCAAGAAUUGACUCACAUAAGUGUCAAUCUCAUGGUUAUCAUUCAAUCAAGGACAUCAUACAACUCACCCACAUUCAUCAAACAUGUGUCCCUCACAACGAGAGAGUUACCCAUAAUCACUCACAAAAAUGUAAUUUAUAGCACAAUGGAUACAAGAAUCAC
rnacentral:lncRNA from 1 species